UUCCAGGCUUUCUGUCCUGCCAAUAAGUAGGUUUUUUUUUAGUUUUUUUGAGCCCUGCACUGAAACUACCAGUUCGAGUCCCAGAAGUCCACCCAGAUGAAGAUUCCUCCCAGACCAAAGGUACCACCAAAAAAGCUCUUACUGCCAAUGGAGUGCCCAGGCUGAGCCACCAAGUGCACCAGAAAGCCAAAGCUUCCAGGCUUUCUGUCCUGCCAAUAAGUAGGUUUUUUUUGUUUUUCUGAGCCCUGCACUGAAACUGCCAGUUCGAGUCCAAGAAGUCCAGCCAGAUGAAGAUUCCUCCCAGAGCAAAGGUGCCACACCAGAAUUCUCUUGCUGCCCAUGGAGUGUUCAGGAUUGCCUGCUAAGUGCACCAGAAAGCCAAAGCUUCCAGGCUUUCUGUCCUGCUAAUAAGCGUUUGAUUUUUUGAUUUUUUGAGCCCUGCACUGAAACUGCCAGUUCGAGUCCCAGAAGUCCAGCCAGAUGAAGAUUCUUCCCAGAGCAAAGGUGCCACACCAGAAUUCUCCUGCUGCCCAUGGAGUGCCCAGGCUGGCCCACCAAGUGCACCAGAAAGCCAAAGCUUCCAGGCUUUCUGUCCUGCCAAUAAGUAGGUUUUUUUUGGUUUUUUGAGCCCUGCACUGAAACUGCCAGUUGGAGUCCCAGAAGUCCACCCAGAUGAAGAUUCCUCCCAGUGCAAAGCUACCACCAAAAAAGCUCUUGCUGACCAAGGUGUUCCCAGGCUGACUCACCAAGUGCACCAGAAAACCAAAGGUUCCAGGCUUUCUUUCCUGGGGAGAAGGGCUGUGGUUUUCUUUUUCAGGCCUACACUGCAACUGCCAGUCCCACUCCCAAUAUUGUAGACAGAUGAAGAUUCCUCCCAGACCAAAGGUGCCACAACAGAAUUCUCCUGCUGCCCAUGGAGUGCCCAGGAUUGCCUGCUAAGUGCACCAGAAAGCCAAAGCUUCCAGGCUUUCUGUCCUGGCAAUAAGUAGGUUUUUUUUGGUUUUUUGAGCCCUGCACUGAAACUGCCAGUUCGAGUCCCAGAAGUCCACCCAGAUGAAGAUUCCUCCCAGACCAAAGGUGCCACAACAGAAUUCUCCUGCUGCCCAUGGAGUGUUCAGGAUUGCCUGCUAAGUGCACCAGAAAGCCAAAGCUUCCAGGCUUUCUGUCCUGCCAAUAAGCGUUUUAUUUUUUGUUUUUUUUGAGCCCUGCACUGAAACUGCCAGUUCGAGUCCCAGAAGUCCACCCAGAUAAGGGUUCUUCCCAGACCAAAGGUGCCACAACAGAAUUCUCCUGCUGCCCAUGGAGUGCUCAGGA